AGGUAGAUGCACCCUGAUUGUUAGCCCUAGGAUACCUGGAGGGAUCCUGGGGCUUUUUUUU
rnacentral:sRNA from 1 species